rnacentral:lncRNA from 1 species
CUUUCCCAAGCUGCCUGAGUAGAAGGAAACACACAGCUCCCCCAGAGCAGAGAGGCCCGCGAGAGGGAAAGCUGGCCCAGGCCCAGGGCAGGCUCGCCUCUGACUCUGCAGGGACAUUAUUCCCUCCCAGCCAGCAGGGAACUUCUGGAACUUCUAAACAGCACAUCCUCGAGCCAGCCCAGGCCCCCACAGCAUCCUGCACCCCAGGUUUACAAGCUUUUUAAUGAUGGAGUUUUGCUCUUACGCCCAGGCUGGAAUGAAGUGGCAUGAUCUUGGCUCACUGCAACCUCUGCCCCACCAAAAUUCAAGCAAUUCUCCUGCCUCAGCCUCCCGAGUAGCUGGGAUUACAGGAAGAUAACUUUGGCAGCAGAAUGGGAAGAAGAUUGGAUGGGAGAGAGAUCAAAGGCUGGGAGAUUCUAAGAGGCUGUUGCAGUAUAGUCGAGGUUUGUCUGCCAGUGGAGUCCAUGUUUCCACCACUGUCCUACAUGGCCUCUCCUCACGAAUGGCUCCAACCUCCUGGGUGCGAUGGAUGAAGCCGGGUGCAGAGAUGGAAAGAGCAGCCCAACUUUCCUAACUGGAGGACUGAAGCGAGAGCUCUCACUGUCGGCCUAGUGUGGAUUGACUCCUUUCCACCACAUUCCCCAACCAAGGACAGUCUAUACCAAGCUCACAGCACUGAGGCGCUGGGGGAGGGCCAGCCCACACCUAGCCCCGUCAAUCUUGGUGGCAUGGACUCCCUCCUAAAGCUUUCUCAGGAGGCCCCAUUUCCUACUGCAGCGGGGCAAGAAUUCAGGAGGAGCCCACUCAAAGGGGAGACAGAGGCAGUGCUCCCUGUGAGCAGCUCUUCCUCCUCAGAGCUGUCAUGGACAAUUGGAGAGAAAAACCGGGACAUUCUCCCCAACCAGGAUAUUUUGUAUGCUUUGCACUUACUGCUGCGUUCCCUUCAUCUAAAAGCUCUAAAAUUUCAAAUAAAAAGGUACAAUGAAAGCA